rnacentral:rRNA from 1 species
AAUCAACGCUGGCGGCGUGCCUCAGACAUGCAAGUCGAACGCGAAAGUUUCCUUCGGGGAACAAGUAGAGUGGCGCACGGGUGAGUAACACGUAGGUAAUCUACCUUCGGAUGGGGAAUAACAAUCGGAAACGGUUGCUAAUACCGCAUAAUGCAGCGGCACCUAAUGGUGACAGUUGUUAAAGCGGGGGAUCGAAAGACCUCGCGUCUGAAGAGGAGCCUGCGGCGGAUUAGCAGUUGGUAAGGUAACGGCUUACCAAGGCUACGAUCCGUAGCCGGCCUGAGAGGGCGGUCGGCCACACUGACACUGACAUACGGGUCAGACUCCUACGGGAGGCAGCAGUCGGGAAUUUUGGGCAAUGGGCGAAAGCCUGACCCAGCAACGCCGCGUGAAGGAUG